GCCCAGGUGGCGGAAUUGGUAGACGCACUAGGUUCAGGUCCUAGCGCCCGCAAGGGUGUGGAAGUUCGAGUCUUCUCUUGGGCACCA
rnacentral:tRNA from 48 species